rnacentral:lncRNA from 1 species
CUUAAAACAAUUUAUUCUCUAACAGUUUGACAGUUCUGGAGGCUGGGAUUUCAAAAGCAAGGUCUUGCUAGGGCCGUGCUUUCUCCAGUGUCUUAGGGGAUAAUCCUUCCUUGCCUCUUCCAGCUUCCGGUGGCUCCAGGCCUUUGGUUUAUAGCAGCAUGACUCUGGUCUGUCUCUAUUUCACGUGGCCUUCUCUGCAAGUCAGGUCAACUCUAAAUCCAGGAUGAACUCAUCAUGGGAUCCUAAAUUACAUCUGCAAAGAUUCUGUUUCCAAAUAAGGUUCCAGAGAAUAGGAUUUGGACAAAACUUUUGGGGAGCUUUUAUUCACUAUUUGUGAGUCAAAUAAAGGAAGCAUACUUGGCAUAAAGCAAUGGGGAGAGGUGGGGACUGCAGUGUAUUGGAGAGCAUGUGCCCCAUCCAAAAUAUUUCAUAUUUAUACUGCAUGAUCAAGAAAAACAUAUCCAGAUGUGGUCCACAGGUGUCCAGUGUAGAAUCAACAGAAAUCUCAGAUAGUUUGAUGCAUAGGUGACAGCUUCAUAGUUACAUCACAGUGAAUUCUAGAGAUUCCAAUUAGAAUUGUCAUGGCAGCUAAAGAUACUAGAUUUCUCUUCGUGCCUGAUAUUCAAGUCAAGACUAACUUCUUCUUCCACUCUUUGCUUGGUAGAAACGGGAAGAGAGAGUUUAUCACCUAAACAGACAGAUACAUGAGUACGAGGCUGGGCAUCAUUCCAGUUCUAAAUAAACUCUACAUUUGACUCAUGCAAACUAAACUCAGGUCACUGGCCUGAGCCAGGCCUUCCACUGUCGCCGCACUAGCAGAACUCAGCCUCCACUCUCCUUCACCCGAAUCAGUUUCAGAGACCAAAUCCUGGACUUUCCAUUCCUCUGCCUCAAUGGAAAAAAGCAUGGUGCUUGGCAGCCAGAAAACAGGGAGCCCCUGGCUCCACAGGCCUCUUCUCUGUCUACAUCUCAAUCUCCAAAUCUCUUUUCCCCCAGUCUGUUGACUGACAGGCAGUUGACAUCAUUAAUUCAGGUUCUAGAGUUACUUGAAGAGGGUAAGCCAAUCCCUGAAGCCCAUUCACAGCCACGGUGUGGUGGGAUGAAAUGCCAGAGACAGAUCUUGAGAGGUCAGGUGGGAAAUCCCCCUGAGGAAGACCACCUCCUCCUCACCCAUCCCAGGCUUCGCCCUGGGUCACCCACCUCGCACACACACUCAGCAUCGCUUUGCCUUCUGCACAGAUUUUCAAACCAUCAACUAGACAUCAAUACAGUUCAGAAGACAAGAAAGAGGAAAAGGAAAAAAUUUUGAUGUUACUUAAUAAAAAAAAUACAUGGGGUUUCUACUUUCUUCCA